UUGUAUUGUGGAAUCGAGGGAGUACCUCCGCGUGGCCGCGUCGACCUGCAGCGCCGCCGUCGUAGUAGGUGUUGGUUCGCCGAGGCCUGAGGGGACUGGCCGUCGCUGGGCGGCUGGGAGAAAAACCGGUGGGGAGAAGACGGGAGUCCUAUGGGUUGCUUACCCAAGUGGAAAACGCCCAACUGAAAAAUACUAUUGUGGUUCUUACACGUGCCCCCUGCUGACGUGGCUAUUUGGCCCACAUGUCAGUGGCUAUUUGGCCCACAUGUCAGGUGCCAUGGUAGACUGUUUUUUUUUUCAAAAACCCCCUUGUCCUUUUCUUUCUUCUCCCCAUCAACCCUUCACUCUCACCUCUUCCCCUCUUUCUUCCCCCUUCCCCGAGCUCUCUCCCUCUGCCUCUGUUCUCUCUUUCUCCCGAGCCACCCCCGCUCCUUCUCCCGAAGCCCGGUGAGCUAGCCUGCCCGCGCCCUCGCUCCGACGCCUGCCUCGCCCGGCGAGCUAGCCUGCCCGUGUCCUCGGUCUCCCAAUGAUCAUGAGAUGGGGAACAGAGAGCGCCUUGGCAAGGCUUCGGCCAUUUCCAUCGACCGUUGGAGCUCGCUGGCUUCCGCCGCGCCAGGCACUGCAAAUCCGACCAGGAGAGGCGGCUCCCCUACUCCAUGCCCGACCACUGUCCAUCGUCACUGAAGGGAGAAGCCGAGGCCACGGAGACGAAGACCACCGUUCCUUGGCCGCGAACUCGUUGUAGGCCCCAGCGCGCCCUGGAACACCACGCGCAGCCCCGUCCCGUCCUGGCCACCACCGCCCGUGCUCACCUGGAUCUGGUCGCGGCCGUGGAUGUGCUUGCUGUUGGGCGCCGCAGGGCCGUUGACGCGCAGCGCGGCGCCGUUGACCCUCCUGGUCGUGGCGGGGACAAAGGACGAUGAAGACCCCGAGGAGGAAGGCCUGGCGCGGUGGGUAUUUCUGGGGAGGUGGAGGUGCUUGGAGAAGUGGAGCGAGGACGUGGAGGCCAUAGAUUUUCUGGGAGGUCGGCGGCGGCAGGGGAGAAAGGAGGAACUCGGGAAAGGGGGCCGGGGGAGAAGCUAGAAAAGGAGAGAGGGGUGACGGGGGAGAACAAAGAAAGAGGCAAGGGUGUUUUUGCAAAAAAUUGUACACCUUGGCACCUGACAUGUGGGCCUAAAUAGCCACAUCGGCAAGGGGCACGUGCUAGAACCACAAUAGGACCUGUGCUGAACCACUUAUGAAACUAUUAGGACUAAAACGUGCAGUUUUAAAGA
rnacentral:lncRNA from 1 species